AUGAACCAACCCCACUGGCCAGGCUGUAGUACCUGCACAGCAGCAAUGCUGCCCAGGCCACGCACCGCUCUGCUGCCUGUAUCGGUACAACUCGUGGUGGAGGAACAGAUGAAAGGCCAAAUUGUUUCAGCCAGCCAGAACCACCCCCAGAGUGUCCCAGCUAUGGCCUUACUGCAGACAAAUCACCACAGAGCUACAGACCAGCAACGAAGGGAGCUGAGGGCAAUUUGACCAACAUCAUCUGUGUCGGUUCCCCAGAUGUCAAUGAAACGCGUAAUCGGGUCUCCAAGGUACAUCCCAGAGAUUAGCUGCUGUGCCAUUCAAUAAGUAAAUGAUUAAAACAAGAUGUUUUCUUUGAUUACAUUAAGAUACUGGCAGCAGGGAGGGCUAUUACCUUCCAUUGAAGAGUCUACCUUCCCAAAUUACUUUGUUUAUUAACACAUCAUUAACAAUGUGCCACCUCAGCCAAAUGAUCAGUGGUCUUGGGUACAAAGUAAAGAUCAUUACAGAACUCCACCACCUGCCUCAUUUGAGCAAAUCAAGUAAGUACAUCUGAAUCACCAAUUGCACAAAAAUAUUCAAAUGCUAGUUUUCAUCUUCAGCUUUGUGCCUUUUUUGCUGAGCCCAUAAGCCUUCUUUUGAGGAAUCAACAAAACCAUGUAGACAUAAACAGAGAAGUUCUCAAAACAAAGUUUUGGUUUUUUUUCCAAAAGAACAGGACCUCAGGUAAAUGAUGCCUUUUAAUACAGCACAUGAAAAUUUCAAUUAUGGAAAUCAUUAUUCUAGGCACUAUGUGCCAUUUUAUAUUCCCAGCAGGAUGUUUUUCAUCUCAUCAAGAGUUUCCAAGGCUGUUUAGUGCUCCUGUAUAUGCAAAACACAUUUAAGGGCCCCUAAGAAGAUCUGUUAAUUAAAAAGCCCAGUCAAGUGGUCAGACAGACUGGAACUUGAGGAUUAUAGGUAAAGAGGGAUGAAAUGAAGGCUUGGAAAUUAUAAUUUUUCUUUCUGUGGUAGCAGCCAAAGCAGCUGUUAUAAACUGGGCAAAUUAAAGAUGUGGCUGACUAAGCCAGCAGUCUGGAAACAAGACAUUGCAAAAGCAUAACAGCAAGUCAUCAGCACCCCACUUUUAAAAAGCCAAAAGUGCUGACCAUUUCUUUUUUACUCUCUCUUCCUGUUAUUCUGAUCUGUCACAACUAUCCUCCAGCUGUUACCCUUCCAGCCCCUAUUCACCAGU
rnacentral:lncRNA from 1 species